rnacentral:rRNA from 1 species
CCUACGGGUUGCACCAGUGGGGAAUAUUGCACAAUGGGCGCAAGCCUGAUGCAGCGACGCCGCGUGAGGGAUGACGGCCUUCGGGUUGUAAACCUCUUUCAGUAGGGAAGAAGCGAAAGUGACGGUACCUGCAGAAGAAGCGCAGGCUAACUACGUGCCAGCAGCCGCGGUAAUACGUAGGGCGCAAGCGUUAUCCGGAAUUAUUGGGCGUAAAGAGCUCGUAGGCGGUUUGUCGCGUCUGCCGUGAAAGUCCGGGGCUCAACUUCGGAUCUGCGGUGGGUACGGGCAGACUAGGGUGAUGUAGGGGAGACUGGAUUUCCUGGUGUAGCGGUGAAAUGCGCAGAUAUCAGGAGGAACACCGAUGGCGAAGGCAGGUCUCUGGGCAUUAACUGACGCUGAGGAGCGAAAGCAUGGGGAGCGAACAGGAUUAGAUACCCGCGUAGUC